rnacentral:rRNA from 1 species
GAUGAACGCUGGCGGCGUGCCUAAUACAUGCAAGUCGAGCGAAUGGAUUAAGAGCUUGCUCUUAUGAAGUUAGCGGCGGACGGGUGAGUAACACGUGGGUAACCUGCCCAUAAGACUGGGAUAACUCCGGGAAACCGGGGCUAAUACCGGAUAACAUUUUGAACCGCAUGGUUCGAAAUUGAAAGGCGGCUUCGGCUGUCGUUUAUGGAUCGACCAGCUUCGCAUUAGCGAGUUGGUGAGGUAACUGCUCACCAAGGCAACGAUGCGUAGCCGACCUGAGAGGGUAAUCGGCCACACUGGGACUGAGACACGGCCCAGACUCCUACGGGAGGCAGCAGUAGGGAAUCUUCCGCAAUGGACGAAAGUCUGACGGAGCAACGCCGCGUGAGUGAUGAAGGCUUUCGGGUCGUAAAACUCUGUUGUUAGGGAAGAACAAGUGCUAGUUGAAUAAGCUGGCACCUUGACGGUACCUAACCAGAAAGCCACGGCUAACUACGUGCCAGCCGCCGCUGUAA